rnacentral:lncRNA from 1 species
CCGAGCACAUCCCGUGCUACCUCCCUAACCAAGUUCGCCGUCUCUGACCACAUAGCAUCCACCUCCCCAGAACUUCUCUAAACUCCGCCCUCAGCUAACCUCCUCUCUAACUCAUGUGCUUUCUCCUUAGUCAAAACACCCCAUCGAAUCCGCGGUUGUCCCCGAGCACCCCUCCUCUUCCUCUUCACCCAGAGACCGACAUCCAUCAC